rnacentral:rRNA from 1 species
CAGCACCUCAAGUGGUCAGGAUGAUUAUUGGGCCUAAAGCAUCCGUAGCCGGCGCUGUAAGUUUUCGGUUAAAUCCGUACGCUCAACGUACAGGCUGCCGGGAAUACUGCAGCGCUAGGGAGUGGGAGAGGUAGACGGUACUCGGUAGGAAGGGGUAAAAUCCUUUGAUCUAUUGAUGACCACCUGUGGCGAAGGCGGUCUACCAGAACACGUCCGACGGUGAGGGAUGAAAGCUGGGGGAGCAAACCGGAUUAGAGACCCGAGUAGUCC